rnacentral:rRNA from 1 species
UCCGUAGGUGAACCUGCGGAGGGAUCAUUACAAGAAGCCGAAAGGCUACUUAAAACCAUCGCGAACCCGUCCAAGUUGCUUCGGCGGCGCGGGACCCCUCGGGGGACCGCUGCGCCGCUUCCCCCCCGGGGGUCGCGGGGCGCCCGCCGGAGGUCACGAACUCUCAUGUAUUAUAGUGGAUCUCUGAGUAAAAAACAAAUAAGUUAAAACUUUCAACAACGGAUCUCUUGGUUCUGGCAUCGAUGAAGAACGCAGCGAAAUGCGAUAAGUAAUGUGAAUUGCAGAAUUCAGUGAAUCAUCGAAUCUUUGAACGCACAUUGCGCCCGCUAGUACUCUAGCGGGCAUGCCUGUUCGAGCGUCAUUUCAACCCUCAAGCCCUGCUUGGUGUUGGGGCCCUACGGCUGCCGUAGGCCCUGAAAGGAAGUGGCGGGCUCGCUACAACUCCGAGCGUAGUAAUUCAUUAUCUCGCUUAGGGUGUUGUGCGGUGCUCCAGCCGUUAAAGACCAUCUUUAACUCAAGGUUGACCUCGGAUCAGGUAGGAAUACCCGCUGAACUUAAGCAUAUCAAUAAGCGGAGGA